UAAAGUUGAAUAUGCUUACCGUAGACAGUAGGUGCCCAUAAGGCUUAAUUUCCUACCGAGGUGUUGUGAUAGAAUAUACAUGAUUUGCCCGCUGCAAAUCGUGAUUCAUCAGGCCUUCGUGAUUCUACGGAGGCUUUUUACUUGCCUAU
rfam:Paenibacillus pini JCM 16418 DNA, contig: contig00020.